GGGGACGAAGAUAAUCUGGAGAUCCAGAGUCCUGAGCAGAAACCCGUAGUGGAGCCCGCCCGCACCCAGAACAGUCCACACCAGGAGUCCCACAGCUAUGCAGGGAGCUGAUCUGACUCAGGGGCAAGCGGAAGAAAAUCUGUGUAAUUAGCAACUGGCGCCCACAGUUUGUGCUGAGGAGCCAAAACAAUUGUGUCCACUCUAGGCCUUGACUUCUGUCUGCUUGGCCUCCCUUCUGGAAGUAUCCCGGUGCACAGAUGGAGUCUAUUACAAAUAGCUCAGUGUUUGUUUUGUUUGUUUGUUUGUUUUUUUCUUUGUUUGGGGUUUAUUUAUUUUUAACACUGCACUUAUUUUAAGUGCUGCACUCCAAAACCUGAGCAUUUUAUUUUAAAACUCUGAGGGGCUCCAGGACUCUGUCUCCACCCUAGCAGCUCUAGAUACGGAGACCAUUUUCCAGAUAAAAAGUGAACAAAGUUCCCACAAAGCCAAAACCUGUGUCUACCUCUCACUGCCUCCUCUGGCCCUUUCCUCUUGGAUCUGUGACCCCAAUUUAAUUGCUGUGGGAGAAAAAACAGCUCAAGAUCCCUCUCCAGCACCAUGUCUGCCUGUGUGCUGCCAUGUUUCCUAUCGUGAUAAUAAUGGACUAAAUCUCUGAACUGUAGAGCAGCCCCAAUUAAGUGUGUUAUUGUAUGAGUUGCUGUGGUCAUGGUAUCUAUUCACAGCAAUAGAACCUUGACUAAGGCAAUCUGAAUCUUGACCUUAACUAACAACCCUAAGUGAAAGGAACCAUGCUUACGGACCACACUAGUACAUGAAAUACCAGCUAGCAAACCUCUCCUUUUGAUAAGCAUUUCUACAGUGUAUCUGAAAAGUGCAGUGUGGUUUGUUUUCCGUGCUAUAUUUGUGGAGUACAGUGUAGGUGGGUGUUUCCACAAUGCACAUAGUGUUUCCAUACUGUAUCUGAAAUGUGGUAUAAUAUAACUGGUGGGUGUUUGCACACUAUCUGUGGUGUAAUGUAGAUCAGUGUGCUCUCUAAUUUUAUGUCCACUUGACAGAAGCUAGAGUAGUCUGAGAAUAGGGACCCUCAAGUGAGAAAAUUCUCCAUAAUAUUAGGUUGUAAGUGAGCUUACAUUUUCUUAAUAAGUGACAUAGGAGGGCCCAAUUCCCUGUGGGCAGUGUCACCCCAGAGCUACUGGGUUUGAGUUCAAUAAGAAAGCAAGCUGAGCAAACCAUGGAGAGCAACCCAGUGAGAAUUGCCCUUCCAUGGCCUCUGUAUCAGCUCCUGCCUCCAGGUUCCUGCCCUGUUGGAGUUCUCGCCCUGACAUCCUCUGGUGAUGAACAGUGUUAUGGAAGCGUAAACAAAAUAAACCCUUCCCUUCCCCCCCCCCCCACCUUGCCUUUGGACAUUGUGUUUCAUCAUAGCAAUAGAAACAUUGACUAAGACGACUAACAUUGCCACAUUCUGUCUGGGAAAUGCUGACUUUCUGUAAGGAAAAAUUGUGCCAGGUAAUGGUGGUUUGUGCCUUUAAUUCUAGCCCUUGGGAGGCAGAGGCAGGCAGAUCUCUGAGUUUGAGUCCAACCUACUCUAUAGAGUGAAUUUCAGGAAAGCCACAGCUACCCAGAGAAACCCAGUCUCAACAAACAAACAAACAACAGCAACAAACACAAAAAAGGAAUAGCUUAUGUCAUCUUCUUAUUGUGCUAAAAUGAAAUUCACAGAUACCAUAGUCCAACUAUCUCAAUAACUUUAAAAGUCAAGUUAGAGCCCUAAUUAUAAGAAAUAAAAAUUUCAAAGUUUUGUUUUACUUUUAAUUAUGUGUUUGUGUAUGGGUUCCUGUGAAUAGAAUGUGAGUGGUAGAAGAGACAAGAAGAGGGGUUAGGACCUCUGGGGCUGGAGGUAUGGGUGGUUGUGAGCUGCCUAAUAUGGUUGCUAGGAAUCAGGCUCAGGUCUUCUGGAAGAGCAGUGUGUGCUCUUAACUGUUGUGUCAUCUCUCAGGCCCAGGGAAUUAAAAAAAAAAGUGCUGUACUUGCUACAUCAGUAUCUAUAAUAAUUUGGCAUUUUCUGAGCUGUGUGGAGACCCAAGCAUUAUAGAGCAUCCUUCCUCUCCAGACUCCAGUUACCUAAUGUUCAUACUGUCCCACAGUCUUUGUGGUGAUGUCAAAUCAUAGCCCCAUACACAUUUCCAAAAUGACCCAUGAAGGAGGUGCUGUCCUAGGGCUGUUAGGGGACUGGACAGAGGAAAAUGCUGAGGCUGAGGACCCAGGUAGGCAUCAGCUGCUUCUGUCUAAGGAAAUAUGAACUGGAACUAACUGAGACUGGAGGAAAAGACAAGAGGGUGAAUUACACGGGAGCUCUGAAAUAAGGGGAAUUUAUUCUGGAAUAAACAAACUCUGUUUAUCUUAGACCUCUCUAGCAGUUCCAAGAGGAGUUACAUGGAAGUUUUAUAUGGUCAGAGAUGGAAGCUGGAAGGCAAGGAAGCAUCAACCAUAUUAAUGGGAGUCACUGGAUGAGAUCACUCAAAUGAGGACCCUCCCUAUAAAAGAGGAUGGGGUCCAUGGGCACAACCCUGAAAACAGUAUGUGAGAAAAUUCGUUCUUCUAUCAUAAAUGAAUGAGAAUGUAAUUGGCAGGACACAGAUGUGGCCUUGAGAGCUGUUGAGUAACUGAAGACAGGACUGAAGACAGGACAGGGAGUCUCAUUCCUGUCAAGUGAAUGACGCAGUGCUCUUUGCAAGUAUUGACGGUGAAGUAUCCCUGCUGUGGUACCUCUGAGCUCAGCUCCGGCAGUGGUUUUGGUAGACCAGACUCUCUUUCUGGUGUGAAGAAUGAGAAGACAUCUGAAAAACUAGAUAAUAUAGUGAAUAGGACAUUUGGUAAAUAAAAGCAAUGACAACUCUAAAAAAAAAGCACAUGUGUGAAAAACAGAUAAUAGCACAAGUAAGACAUUCAGCAAAUAGGACCAAAUUAUGGAAUAACACUUGGCCUGCGUCAGGCAUCAGCACACAGAUCUCCAUCCAGUGACUCUUUGGUUUCCCUAGGUUUAAUUUUUUUUAAGGAGGCCGGCUCCAAAGUUCACAAACACAUUUCAUUGGCAUGUUCUCUAAGGUAGGGUAAAGUCAGAAAUGCUAUGAUAAGCAUAUACAUACUUUAGGGAUCGGGGUUUGUGUUCAAGACAAAGUAGACCUUUCUGCAGCACAACCCCUCCUCCAUUUCCCAGGUAAAGAAGAAAUGGGCCAAGCAGAGGGUUUUAAUGGGGAGAGAAUGGGACACAGGAAUGACUAGCCACUACACUCUUCCCUAGGGACAAAGGAGGUAGCUAUGACACAAGGAAAAAAAAAGCUCUGUUGAAAUGCAUGGAGAGUGGUUGUGAUUUCUCUCUCUUCCUCCGCAGAACAAUCUGAUCUCUCUCCUUUACCCUUGAAAAUGCCAUUAAGGGAUUCGGCUUUCCUCUGAGGAGUCCAUAUACAUCCCUAUUAAUCUUCAGGGCAACGUCAACAUGAAAAUGAUCCGAGCCUGGCCGAUGACUGCAUAGGUCUGCUUGCAAGAGAUUCACAGAGGUCCACACAAGUCAUCCCACUUAAGGGAUCUUCCUUCUGUCUUCACCCACACCUCCUCUGCACACAGCUCUCCGCCUCCCUGGGGUUCAUUGUAGCCAUCUUUCUGAGACAAGGGUCAGUUCAGAGGGCAGUUGUUGCCUCCUCUCUCUCCAGGAAACAAGCUCUCCUCAUAAGGAUUCUUUUUCCCAGCAAGCAAAGAUGACCUGGAAAUUUGACAGUACCAGAGUUACAGACUACUCUUUCUCAAGAGAGAAAUAUUACCUUAUAGAAACCAGCUUUUAUCCUGCUGUGAAACUGUACUGUGUUCUGCGGAUUGUCUCUGAUUAGAGCCAGGUGAACUGGGGGAAGCUCGGAGGGCUGUCUUCUGCACACCUCAAAGGCAGCUGGAAUCGUAUGUGACCCUGAAAAGAAGCUGCAGCAAGACUUAGGGGGAGGUGGGGGAAAGACAACGACGUUGAUACAAGCCAGCACAUUCCGUGCUCAGAGUGUACGAGAAUGUUCUUAAACACACCAGGAGAAAAAUCCCGAAGGUUUCAAAACUCCUGGUGAUAGUGAAGUUCUUGGCUAACUUCCUAGAGCAUUAUCGGGCAUUAUAAAUGUCCUUUGAAUUCACGCAGCUCCUAAGAACAAAGGAAUUGUUUUGAGGAUUUUAGUGUUUACUCUUUAGGAGGUCUGAAGGCUCUAUUUGUAAUUUCUUAAUAAAAUCAAAUCUUCGUCACAUUAAAGAAGGGUAGAAAAACGGUAAAGUAUUUUUAAAACAAAAAUAGGCAUUUAAUCAGUUAGUCAGAUAAUAUUCAUUGAGCACUCGGGUGCAUCAAGCAAUGCUGUAGGGAUAGGACCACUGUGGUGACCCAGAUGAACUUUGACCCUGCCUACUUGAUAUACCCCAGUGGGCAGAGUAGGCUUAUAGUAAACCACAUCUGAGGAAAACUCAAGUGACCACAGUGUCCCUCUUCAGAGAUCAUUAAGAACAUUGUGCAGGAUUUAGACACACGCUGUAAAGACAAGAAGACCUUGAAAAUGCUCAAGGCACAGCUCAGGGACUUACCUGCCAAAAGCCCAGAGUUCCAUCUCCUACAAUAGGGAAAUUUGAUAUUUGGAUUGAUACCUAAUGGAUAAAGGUAUUUUAAAUAUAAUGUGUGUAUUCUUGACUAAUGACUGAUGUGUGGGGAGGGUAAGACCUGGCCCAUUGUGGGUGAGGUUCUACCUAGGCAGGUGGUCAAACUGAGCAAGCCAGGAGGAACAAACCAAUAAACAACACUACUCCAUGGCCUCUGCUUAGGUUCCUGCCUCCAGGUUCCUGCUUGACUUCCUACACUGACUUCCCUCGGUGAUAGAAUGUUAUUUCAGAGAUUUAAGGUGAAAUAAACCCUUUCCUUUUCAAAUUG